rnacentral:lncRNA from 1 species
UCUGCAAAAUUAUCUCAAUUUCUUGCACUAUUCACAAUGCAAUGGUUACAGAGAUGAUACACAUUUUGACUAUUGAUUGAUUGAUUGUCCUUUUGAGACAGGGUCUCUCUAUGCAAUUCAGGCUGGCCUUUAGCUCACUUUGUAGCCCAGGCUGGUCUCGAACUCGCAAAGAUCCUCCUGCCUCAGCCUCCGGAGUGCUGGGAUUACAGACGUGCCACCACGCCCGGCACCACAUUUUAAUCUUAGUCUAGAUGUGUAUUCUCUACCAGUUUCUUAAAUCUAGACAAUCAACACAACAACAAAGAAAGAUGCAUCUGGGGCAUCUGCUUAUUACUCUUGGUGAAUAUUCCAAGCUGUUGAGAGCUGAGGAUUACAUCUUCAGGACCUCCUGCACAAAGCCCCAAAAUGUGAAUGGAUGAGAAGAGAGGACUCACAAAAGCACUCACUAAAAACACAGAAGGAAAAUGUAUACCAACCUGUUUGCUGUUGCUAUAACAAAAUACCUGAUUCAGGACUUCCACUCACCAGCUGAGGAACGGGAGCCAGGCUCGCCCCGCUAUCCUGCCUCGGGAGAGACCCAGCCUCAACCCCACCACACUGCCCCUCUCCGCCGUCCUCCGGGCCGCAGCAGGCGCGCGCACGAGAGCCGCAGGUCAGGCCAGGCUGCUGCGCACCAGGACCGCCCGCACCCCGGAACUCACUCGGGCGGCCGCAGGGGUCCAGUCUUCGGGAGCCACCUUUCCUCUUACCGCCCAAGCGGGGCGCCCGGACCCUGCCCCGACCCCCGGGCCUCUCACCUGGGGUCACCACGCCUCUGGGCCUGGGGUGACCUCGGUCUCACCUGCUGCAGACCGAGAGCUGCCCUACUCCGGAGGCCCCGUAAAUCCUCAGCAGCCCUUCCUUCUGUAUUCACUAGGGAUUUUUGAGGACCUGAGAGCGAAACCCAUCCAAAACGGGCCUGCGCAGUCCGAGUGAUCCAUAACCCCGCACGCGCGUGAUGCUGGGAGCCUUUCCUCCGGUCUCUGGACUCUGGCCUCACUGAGUCUCUGCUGCCUCCCAUCUCCGUCCUUUCUCCCUCUGGUCGGUCUCCCUCCCGUGUGCUGGAGUUAAGUCUCAAACAGCCCUUUUCCAGCAGGGGCCUGGUGGUGUAGGCCUGUAAUCCCAGCACUCUGGGAGGCUGAGGCAGGGAGAUAGCAAAUUCUGACCGAGUCUGGACAAAUUAGCCGUUUAGUGAGAGCUUGUCUCAAAAUAAAAUAUAAAAAAGAGCUGGGAAUGUGAUUCAGAGCGAAGGCCCUGGGUUCAAUCUCCAGUACCGAAGCGUGUGUCUGGGGGGUGGGGGUAGGCCCCUUCCCUUGGCCGGGAGAGCUGCGCUCCAGCCCCAGAGUUUCCGUACUGGAGUUCGCCUUCUCCCUGACUGGCGCUGGAAGAAAAGCGCUCUUUGAUCAGUCGGAGUUCUGAUUGGCCCGGCGACAGAUAAGGGGUGGAGCAAACGGACUGACAGGCGAGUCAGAGGGCUGCGGACCCAGGGGAAGAGGUUCGCCGCAGCCCGCGAAGCUCCGCAAACGAACGUUCUGAGUCCUUUAACUCCUAACAGCUUACCUCUCCCUGAGUCUCCCCUGCCAACGGCGGGUCCUCCUCGACUUAGCAUCCCCCACCCCAGCUGUGCACAUUCAAGGGGUUUGCAGCUCCCCAGCUCGGGUCACUCCUCCAUGUGAAGCAGUGUAGCUUCACCUCCCUGCUGUGCCCGGGCAGGUCACCUUCCACAGAAACCCGAGCGAGACCGUCUCCCUAGGAGAAGACACUGACCUUGAGUCCUCUGAUCCCUACCCAGGCCAGCGCCAGGAUGGCCGGGAUUUGCACCCAAAGCCGCUGGUGUGGGGACAGCAGGGCUGGCCACGGCUGCUCCUGGUCCUAGUCGUUCCUAGAGAAUUCAGAGCAGCACCCUGGACUCCGCCAGCCCGCACUGGGGCUCCUCCUGCCUCCCCCACGGUGAUGGCCGAACAUGGCCUUGCCAGGGCAGGAGGAGGAGAAGGAUCACCCCUCCUUUCUUCCCACCCUGGUUUGAGGCCCACUGGCCAGAAGGAACAGAGGUAAAGUUAGGGUCCAUAGCAGAGGGCGAAGGACACCUGAGAAUUCCCAGUGUCGGUUUCUCUCACACAAGGCUCCCAGGGCAUAUGGUUAGCUGACCUGGGGAAAAUCCAUCGGGAAUAAAAUUGUGACUGUCCCAGACACUCUGGAG